GUUGAGGUCUAUCCUGAUGGGAAUUAUUCUGCAGACCUACAUUGUUGGAAAUGCCUCAUGGCAUACGUGUGGUUUCCUUUAUUCACAGAACUGUGUGUUAGAUCUGAGGGAAAGAACUCCAGGACCUCG